ensembl:lncRNA
UGUUCAGUUAACUUUUGUAAGUGGAACUACUAUCGUCAAAUUGAAGAUUUUUACCAUUUGGCCUUUUUAAACAUUGCUAAAGUCCUCCUCACCAAGUUUUGUUUUGUUUUGUUUUAUUUUUUUGCUUUUUUUUGUUUUGUUUUUUUUGUUUGUUUUUUUUUACAAAAAGUGAUAACAUCUGCCAUCUAUAAUCCUCUGCUUCAAGUCUUUGGUGGAUUUCAAAAGCAUUUUCUUGUUUGACUGCCAGGCCAUAGACUCACAUUUUUCAUUUAUGGUUACUGCCAUAAGCUUUCCAGUUUCUGAUCACAAACAUUCCCUGGUAUAGACACUGACAGACAUUUCCGUUUUUAAUCCAAACUUGGGGAAAAAAAAAAAAGAAAAUGCAGAAUUUUUCUAACAGUCCAGCUCCCCCCUCCCUCCCCCCUGGGUUCAGUGGGAGGGGUGGAGGAGGACCUCCAUAUCCCUCUCAGCCAGCAGAACCCCAGAUUUCCCCAAGGAUGACAGAUGAUUAUGUAGGGAUGCAACAGCAGAGCCUGCACAGAGGCCAUCACCACCCAAGUCAAGCCAGCCACAUGCUAGCUUACAGUGCUAGAAACAGAGGAGCUGUAGAGCUGCCACCACAGGGUAACAUUCACAGCAGCAGCAGUAACAACCCUUACAGGAAGGAUGCCAUGGAUUAUUAUUUUUCAAUGGGUGGGAAGGACAGGCUCAGAAGAGGGGGCAUGGCAUUUGGUACCGGCUUUGGAUACCCUAAUAUUGAUGGACAUAUACCUCACCAGUACAGGCAUACUGGAUCUGGUGCUGCACCAUCUUCUGGCCUGAUGUCGCCAUAUCCAGUAGAGUAUGGUUCCACUGCUGGUUCAGGUGGAGGUGCUGGUGCUGGAGCCUUCUCUCCUUCUCACCAGUACAACAUGAGUCAGAACCCUGCAAUGCAGUCAGUGCCAAGUUCUCAAAUGCAGCACCGCCAGCAUGGACAGACCUUCCCAUCUGUCCACCAUGGACAGCAGCAUAGAAGCUAUCCUCACUCUGGGCACAGAAUGACCCCUCAGUAUCCGCAUUACUCCCCACAGGGUGGAGCAUCCACAGGGUCAUCAGGAAUGUACAGCCCCCCUCCGCAGAGAUAUCUUGACGGGGCUGCUAGCACCGGGUUUGAUCCCAAAGUCAACAGUUCUCCCACUGUCAGCUCCGGUUCAAACUCAGUCUCUGGUUCAGUUGCUGCUAACAAUGUGGGGUCAAUGGAGAAUGUUCAACAGAGUUACCAUGCUUCAAAUUAUCCUGGAUAUUCCCCACAGACACAUUCACUUCACAAGCAAGCCACACUACAGCAUCGCAACUCCCAGCACAAUUUAGGAGUAGGUUAUGACAACUCACUCAAGAUGCAGCACCAGGGCCCGUCUCCAGGUUCUGUAUAUGCUAAACAUCACCAAGCCUCCAAUCCCAGUAUACCUCAAGGAACAUCAAUAGAAUUAUCCAAAUCUCCGAUGCACCCCAAUGCGCAACAGGCACAAAUUAACCAAAACUUUAGCCCAAUAUCCAACCCCUCCCCAGCUGCCUCUGCAGUGCAUUCUCCUAGUUGUAGCUCCUCUCCUUCUCCUUUGAUGGGUGUCUCAGAGGCACAUGGAAACCCCUCAGGUCAUGGUCCUUCACAUCCUCCUACAUCAAAUCCCCGUAGCAGCCAUGGUCAUGGCAGAUUGUUGCAGACCAUGCCUCAAUUAAGCCCCACACCCAAUUCAAAUAGCAGCAUCAGUAGUUGUGGUAGCAGUGGCAGUCAUAAGGCUCACGCCAUGACUGCAGUCGGGGGAAGCAGUCUUCCUCCAGCAGGGCGCAGCAAAAUUAGUCUGGGCACAGGAAUUGGAUCUCGAGAGGAUGGCUCUUCUGUUUACUCAUCUUCUCCACUUGACAAAAUGCAGGAUGCU